AAGGGGAGAACAGUUAGUGCUGAUUUUCAUUUGCAUACAUUUUCAUAUAUUUUGGUGAAAAUAAUAGACUAGUGAGAGCUGGGCUUAGAGGAGUCAGUGUAAAGGGAAGGCUAAGGAUGCAUCGGUUCUGGAGAGUUGAGAAUAUGCCUUUCCCUCCACCCCCCAAGGCACCUUAUUUGAAAACAAAAACAAAACAAACAAAAAAAAAAACUUCUUUUAUUUUUUAAAAAAUCUAACCUUGGAAGUUUGCUCGGCUUCUGCUUGUUCUUAGACUUGCAAAAGAAACCCAAUUUGGUGCGAAUUUUGCAUGGGAAAGUAGAGUUGGACGGUCAGCUGGGGUUCCCGUAGGUCAUACAGCAGCAUGCUCCUGUGUCCAGGGCUGAAAUUUGGUACUGCUUUUCUGUUCUGGAACCCACGAUCAAGGCCCAUCUGGAUUUAAAAGCGAAGCUAUAAGAAUAACUGCAGUCGAAGGACAAAUCCCCCAUGUCCCCUCUGCCAGUGGGUGCUCAUCAAAGGACAGCGAAGGAAGAGAAAGUGCCUAGAUGCGUGCACCCGUCAAGUGUCGUCGAGACUGCAAAUGCCAAGUGUGCAAAGGACUCUUUAUUUUUUUAUUUUUGGGUAGCAGGAAUUGAACCCAGGUGUGCUUAACUCCUGAGCCACAUCCCUACUCCUUUUUAUUUUUUUAUUUUGAGACAGGGUCUCGUGAAGUUGCUCAAGUCCUCUCUAAGUUGCUCAGGCUGGCCUGGAACUUGCGAUCCUCCUGCCUCAGCCUCCUGAACUGCUGGGAUGAUAGGCAUGGGUCUCCCCACCAGGCUCAAAUGGCAUUUUGACAAGACUUUUCUCAAAGGCGAUGGGGUCUCAGGGUUGGCAAACAAGGCUCUGGGGACACCUCCGACUGUUGCCUGUUUUUAAUGAAGCCUUCUUUGGAGCGCAAGCACACCAGUUGAUGUAUUUUCUGUGGCUGCUUGUCACCGCAUCAAGGAGUUGUGACAGACCAUGCAGCCUGCCAAGGCUAAACCAUUUAUGAUCUGGCCCCUUAUAGAAAACGUUUGGAUGCCUGAUGCCCUUCACCCCGUUCACUGUGUAUCUAUUAAGAUUACCUCAGUGUAAGUCGAGGAUCAGGGUCAGCUCUCCCUCUGGCUGCUACCUGGAGAAGGUGUGGACGUGGCAGGAACAGUGGCCUGGGGUCCACCUUUACUAACUACGUCAAUACUGUACGGUUGUCGACGUUGCGGACUUCUGCUUCCACGACACAGAUGGACCCCUUUUGGUACCAGUUGGUGUUUGGGAGGAGCAAGUGAGAGAACAUUUAUCCCAGAACCUAAGAGUCAUAUGAUUGUCUGAAACAAAAGUGCCAGUGGAGUUGCGUAUGAGAAAGCCAACCUUCCAGAAUCUUCCAUUGUACAAGAGUCACCAUCAAAACCUCUGAGAGCGGUGAAAUCACAACAGAGCAAGGCGCAGCUGGAUGUGCACUGCUCAUUUGUGCCCACGUGAAAAGAACAGCCAAGAUGCCCGGAAACCAGCGCACCAGCUUCUGCAGAGCUUGGACACUCCUGAAUCAGUCCGAGCACCUCCCAUCUGUAAAGUCCAUCAGACGCUAGGCUUGGGGGAGAGACCUGUGCUGCUGGAGGACCUGCAAAUCUUGGCUUAGUUCUCAGUCCGAUUUUUCUUUUCUCCCCCUCAGCUAAGGAGCUCUAAAGAAUACGUUUUUUAUUUCCAUUCAAAUGUCUAAGGUAAGAGGCAGAGAGAACAACUCUGCUGCAUUUUUUGGCAUUGUGUGAGUGUGUGUGUGUGUGUGUGUGUGUGUGUGUGUAUGGGUACCAGGGAUUGAAGUUAGGGGCACUCGACCACUGAGCCACAUCCCCAGCCCUAUUUUGUAUUUUAUUUAGAGACAGGGUCUCGCUGAGUUGCUUAGCGCCUCACCAUUGCUGAGGCUGACUUUGAAUUUGUGAUCUUCGUGACUCAGCCUCCCAAGCUGCUGGGAUUACAGGUGUACGCCAUUGUGCCCAGCUGAGUGGUUGUUUUUAAAGCCCACCUCCUAUUUUGUUCCUGGGCCAGGUACCUGGGGAAUCUCUCCAACAGGUCCUUCAAUUUUCAAAGCUGCAGAGCAUGACCCUCAGAGCCCCUUGUUGCCAAUUUUAAAUACCAAAUUUCUUUUUUUUCUUUCUUUUUUUACUUUCUAGAAGCCAUUAAGAAUAUUCCAGGGAAUAAUACCUAUUAAUAGCGGCAAAAGAAUCCAACAGCCUAAAGCCACAAGGUGUUAAAAACACCCCACCAACAACGUAACCCAGGAGUUUGACUCUCAGGCCCACACUCUUGGGGAUGUGCAGCAGCAGUCCUAGAGAAGUGGUGGGACCUGGCCCUUGUCAGGUGACCUGCAUUAAUCGGGGGCUAGCACCUGGCUGGGACCCUUUCCUGCCCCUUCCUUUCUUCUCCACUGGCUUGGGUGGGCAGCACAAUCCACAGUGCCAGCAACUGGUAUCUCCCAGGCCCUGGGACAGUAGCGGAGGAGCUGUCUGAAUGUGCCAGGAAGCUUCUGCCAACCUGGCCCGUUAACAGGAGUGGCUCUGCAUUAGGUGAUCUUUGCAAAAUGAUGCUCACCCAGAGGGAAGACUCAUUAACACUGGGUGAGUCAUAGAGAAUGCCAAGUUCAUGUUUAGAAAUGACUCCCUGAUGAAGGGAGGCCAGAGCCUUUUCAAAUAAUUUUUUUCCCCUUUUUGGUGCACACUCCCAAGUCAUAAGGUGUUCCUAAGGCCAGAGCUCAGAAAAAUCAUAAGAUCUUGUCUUGGCUGCCUUUCUUUUAAAAAUAGAUUUGUGAAAACUGUUACUAUAUCCAGGCAAGACGGACAUUAGUGGGACUGACAUUCAAUCUUCAUUUUUGGAGAGCAUUUAUAUGGGAGUGAGAUUAUAACUCUGUUAAAAUAAGAUUAAUGCUAUAAUAAAUGCUAGCAUCCCAGAACAAUUGAAUAGAAAUAUAAUGAACAGCCACGGCUGGUAAGUGGAAAUGUCAUCUACAGCCACCCAGGUAGAGUAAGUUACUACCUUUUAGGAUUGGGUUGGACUGCGCGUAAAAUGAGAUCCAGAAUGAUAGCACCUUCAGUAAGAUGGAGAUUUCUUUCUUUUUAACAUAAAAAUCAGGAGGUUCGCGGUCAAGAACUCUGCUGACCCUAUCUUUCACUCUUUGCCCCUUUUCUCUGAGUCACGGGGACUUAGCUUAUUUCACACACUAGACUCCUGGGAGGUCCAUCAUCCAUCUCUUGUUCCUGUGUUCUUGUGGUUCCACAUGGGCUUCUGUUCCAAAGGAAAACUUUUUGGUCCAAGGUGACUGUUUCAGUGCUGACCAUCACACUUCUAUUCCUGCUAGCAAAAAGGAGGGAUUGGGAAUAAGUGGCAAAGGGCUGGUUCCUGUUUCUGGAAAAUUCUUCCAUGAACUUCGACACCACACUUCGACACGUAGUUAGCUCAUUGUCCAGGGCUCAGUUUACAGCCACACCUAUGUGGAUUCUGUUGGCCAGUGCCUGCAAAACUGAGUUCCAUGGAAGUAGAGGACGUGCUGGUCACCACGGAUGACCUCUGCCCUUGUGUAAGUUCUCAGCAGUUGGGAAUUAUCUUCUGCUUUCCCUGACCUUUCCACAUCCCCAAUCUAUUUAGUGGAUUCCUGAAAUCUGUGCUGAUCUUCUUAGGUCCUAGUUGUCAAGAUGCAGAUGUAGGGGUGGCAGUGAAGGGGAAUAAGUUAACCAAAAUUCCCAAUGAUGUAAGCUACCUGAGAUGUGAGAGUAGAUACACUUUUUCUGUAAGUGUCCAGGAGUUGUGAGGUUAAGGCACCAGGAUGAGCAUACAAUGAGCUCAUUAUAUCAGCUGUACCCCCUUUCCUAUGGCUUACCUGGGGGUCUCAUUUGUCCACAUCCAGGUGGGUUCAGGCCAUUUCUGCAAAAGAUGGGUGUGAGAUGGGCUCCUGCCUUUGAGAAUCUGGUCAGACUUUGGAGAAUUCAGUUCUUCUGCGAUUUCUUUUUCUCGGUGUUACUUCCUUAAGCCCCCCUCUUGCUUUGGUGCCAGAAUGCUCCCUUGGUAGCCCAUGCCAUUGUUUUUCAUGAAGGGCCACUCUUAGGCAUGCCAUUUCUGGGUUUAGUCACUUCAUCAAACAUUGGGGGGCGGAUUCCAUGAGAAGGCUCCCAUGUCAGUCAGCUUUUUGUCACUGUGACCAAAAACACCUGAUAAUAAUUUUAGAGGAGAAAAAAAUUAUUUUGGGCUCAUGGGGUUCAGAGAUUAGCCAAUGGUGGGUCAAAGUCAUUGCCCUGGGCCUGAGGGGAGGCUGAACAUUGAGGUCCAAGGGUAGGGUGGAGAAAAGCUUCUCAGCUCAUGACAACUGGGAAGGAGAGAGAGAGGAGCCAGGGAACAGACAUAGUCUCCAAAGGCAUGUCCCUGGAGACCUACUUCCUCCAGUCACACUCCACAUGCUGACCAUUAUUACCCUGUGGUCCAUUCAAAUGAUUAAUCCACUGAUGAGGUGGGAGGUCUCAUAAUCUAAUCUUCUCACCUCUGAACAUUUCUACAUUUCCUAACAUGUGAACUUUUUGCGGGAACAUUCCUGGAUCAAAAUCGUAUCAAAAUCGUACUAGCUCAAGGAAUGAGGCAGUCUACUGACCCUCCUUGGCUUUUUUCUUUCUCUUCUGUAAUAAUUUCAGCUUUACUUUUCUAACAUGUGAUGCCUCAGCAUUGACAAAUUUCAUACCCAAAUAAUGAUGACGGUAUUUUGAUUUCCCAGGCUAUAAGAGAUUCUGGAGAACCAGUUUCCUGUUACUGCUGAUGUUUUUCAGGCUGUACUGGUAAAAAGCAGAAAUUAAUCUAUACCUCCAGGUAAGGAAGUAAGACCAUGAUACUCCUGGACAUAGUGAUAAGAAACCCUCCAUGAGCCUGGAAGACAGGGCCUUGGGACCUCAGUGAGUUCAUCAUCCUAGAAGCAAAGGACACACCAUCCUUCAGAUGGGACAGUUAUUAACAAUAGUGUUGAUGGGGGUAAUGAAAACAUCUGCUUCACAGUGAAGUAGUUUGACCAUUGGUGGAAGCAAUAGAGACGUACUGUGCUUACUGGGUCUGAGUCUCCUUCAUUAUUGAGCACGUGGACAGACUCCAGAUGCCCUGAAAGCAGUUCAAGAUCCACCUAGCUAGUUCUGCCUGAUGGACUUUGCUGAAGGGGCAUUCCAUUUUCUUUCCAAGGUAAUUAAGAGUUUCCAAUGUUCUCUUUUCUACUAGUAGCCAGGUACUGAAAUGAGCAUCGUGAAAUGGAAAUCCUUAGAUCCCUGAGACACCAGAUGGAGGAGAGCCUUGCUGACCUGCAUUGGACUUUGCAAGAGUGAUAUACAAACUUCUAUUAGUUGAGCUACUACAACUUUGGGCCUUAUUUGUCACUAGUACAACAUAUCAUGUUCUAACAAAUACAGACAUUGUAGAGUUUAUAAAGAUUUUACUCAGCACUUCCACUGAGAUACUCCUGAACGUUUCAUAGAUUCCUAAGGUUUGAAGGUCAGGUAGUGUUUUAGAAUGUGAAGAAUUAGAUGACUUUUUGUGUUCCUCGCUUGUUUCUGUUUUUUUUUUUUUUUCCUUAAGUGACCAUCAUUUCAAAGAGACUAGGCAAUAAGGUGACAGGUACUGAAUAGAAACACCAAUAGACAGAAUCAGAGCGUUUGAUAGGUCAAUUUCCUGAAAAACCCCUUGAGCCUAGGCUUGCCUAAUUGAUAUGCUUUCCUAGGAUUGUUCAGCCCCACCCGGGUGCUCCUGCAGGUCAGUUAAAAGGAGAGUGCAGUGUGGAAUCCGUAUGCUCCCUUCUGCCUUGCAAGCAGCCCAGAAGCCGAAGCUCUGUCUCCAUUAGUAAUCACCAAACAUAACAAUUAAACACACAUCACGCCAGGCUAGAGAAUCCCUGGAGGAUGCUCCGUGUCCAUUCUGUUAUGGUCUGAAAUCUGAUCUAAAUAUUGGCCAAAUAGGACUGAUGGUUGGAGAAGGAGGAGGAGAGGGGUUAGCCAUGCUAGAUGCCGCAGUCUGGCUGGGCACACAAUCACGAGCCACCACACAGCUUGUAGAUUCAAACAGCAACUCUUUAUUCCCGAACUCACACCAGCCGUCUACAAUCACGUUCUGGGGAAAUCCACGUUCUCUGCCCAAAUCCACCUCCACUGGGCUUCUAUCUCCAAAAUAUAUUGUCUGAAUCCCGUGAGAACUCAAGGGGAACUCAGGCAGCAGGAUACGCCCUAUUCUCAGCAGGAAUAAUCUUAAACCUUAAACCUGGAACCUAAACUGGGAACGCCCUAAACACCAUUAUCUUAAAACCGGGAACACCCUAAUCUGCCUUGGUCCUUGAGCAAGGUC